UCAUGAAUUUUUGUGUUGUGGGCCAAU
rnacentral:piRNA from 1 species